rnacentral:lncRNA from 1 species
GUUUUAUCCCCCUCACCACACACACUUCCUCAACAGCCACCAUUACCUGUGGGCACAUGCUACAGACUGGGAGCCCCCUCCAGUGCCAGUUAGGCAGACACAGCUGGAGCACUGCUGGGCUGGAACAGAAGUUUGGAGAAAUUAGGAGCUAAUUCCAAUUUUUAUUGACACUUAUGCCUUAAUAAAGCUAGUUGGGGGUUCUUGCCCUAUGAUCACCCUCACUUGAGUGCAGACUUUCCCUUUAUAAUAGAUCUCUCACCCUGAUAACCUUAAAAAAGACAACAACAGAAAGCUAAUGUGGGGGGCUGGGGUUGUGGCUCAGAGGUAGAGCACUCACCUAAUAUGCAUGAGGCACUGGGUUCAAUCCUCAGCACCACGUAAAAAUAAAAUAAAGGCAUUAUGUCCACCUAUAACUAAAAAAAAAUUUAAAAAAUACAAUAACAUUAAACAAAAAAGCUAAUGGG